rnacentral:rRNA from 1 species
UACGUAGGGUGCAAGCGUUGUCCGGAAUUACUGGGCGUAAAGGGCGCGCAGGCGGCUGCUCAAGUCAGGCGUGAAAGGCCUGGGCUCAACCCGGGAAUUGCGCUUGAGACUGGGCUGGCUUGAGUGCGGGAGAGGAUGGUGGAAUUCCCCAAGUAGAGGUGAAAUUCGUAGAUAUGGGGAGGAACACCGGUGGCGAAGGCGGUCACCUGGACGGAUACUGACGCUGAGACGCGAAAGCGUGGGGAGCAAACAGG